UCUGUUUCUCAGUGGCGUGGGAACACUUUGUUCUUAUAAUUAAUCAAAAUCAGCCAUUUGUUGACACUGGCAGAACAUUGGCAUGUCCACAAGGCAUGAGCGGUGAGUUUAAGAGUGAGAGGAAGAGCCAUCUGACAAUCAGACAGAGGAGCAUCAAGAGAGCUGAACACAUCUGUGAUGAGGGAAACCUGAAUGGUACAUACUGCUCAGAGAAGAAGAACUACGUGUGCGCCAAGAAGAUGUGAUCAUCACCAGCUGAUGUUUGCGUUCACAUUUUCAAACAACAACUAAUCUGUGCUGCAGUUGGACAAGUCUGUUUCAUGGUAACCACUAUGAACACAAGCUUUUUACUGCAAGUUACUGCAAUAAACGCUUCGGCGUUUAUGUUA